rnacentral:rRNA from 1 species
GACAGAGGGUGCAAACGUUGUUCGGAAUUACUGGGCGUAAAGCGCGUGUAGGCUGCUCGGAUAGUCGGGUGUGAAAGCCCUGGGCUCAACCCAGGAAGUGCACUCGAUACUGCCGAGCUGGAGUCCCGGAGAGGAUGGCGGAAUUCUCGGUGUAGAGGUGAAAUUCGUAGAUAUCGAGAGGAACACCUGUGGCGAAGGCGGCCUUCUGGACGGUGACUGACGCUGAGACGCGAAAGCGUGGGGAGCAAACAGG